rnacentral:miRNA from 1 species
UGAGCACUGCGAUGUGGUAUU